rnacentral:sRNA from 1 species
GAACCACAUCCACGGGCCUAUUCACCAAGU